GCAGUCGAGCGGAACGAGUUAUCUGAACCUUCGGGGAACGAUAACGGCGUCCGAGCGGCGGACGGGUGAGUAAUGCCUAGGAAAUUCGCCCUGAUGUGGGGGAUAACCAUUGGAAACGAUGGCUAAUACCGCAUGAUGCCUACGGGCCAAAGAGGGGGACCUUCGGGCCUCUCGCGUCAGGAUAUGCCUAGGUGGGAUUAGCUAGUUGGUGAGGUAAGGGCUCACCAAGGCGACGAUCCCUAGCUGGUCUGAGAGGAUGAUCAGCCACACUGGAACUGAGACACGGUCCAGACUCCUACGGGAGGCAGCAGUGGGGAAUAUUGCACAAUGGGCGCAAGCCUGAUGCAGCCAUGCCGCGUGUAUGAAGAAGGCCUUCGGGUUGUAAAGUACUUUCAGUCGUAAUAGCGGCGUUUGUUUGACGUUAGCGACAGAAGAAGCACCGGCUAACUCCGUGCCAGCAGCCGCGGUAAUACGGAGGGUGCGAGCGUUAAUCGGAAUUACUGGGCGUAAAGCGCAUGCAGGUGGUUUGUUAAGUCAGAUGUGAAAGCCCGGGGCUCAACCUCGGAAUAGCAUUUGAAACUGGCAGACUAGAGUACUGUAGAGGGGGGUAGAAUUUCAGGUGUAGCGGUGAAAUGCGUAGAGAUCUGAAGGAAUACCGGUGGCGAAGGCGGCCCCCUGGACAGAUACUGACACUCAGAUGCGAAAGCGUGGGGAGCAAACAGGAUUAGAUACCCUGGUAGUCCACGCCGUAAACGAUGUCUACUUGGAGGUUGUGGCCUUGAGCCGUGGCUUUCGGAGCUAACGCGUUAAGUAGACCGCCUGGGGAGUACGGUCGCAAGAUUAAAACUCAAAUGAAUUGACGGGGGCCCGCACAAGCGGUGGAGCAUGUGGUUUAAUUCGAUGCAACGCGAAGAACCUUACCUACUCUUGACAUCCAGAGAACUUUCCAGAGAUGGAUUGGUGCCUUCGGGAACUCUGAGACAGGUGCUGCAUGGCUGUCGUCAGCUCGUGUUGUGAAAUGUUUGGGUUAAGUCCCGCAACGAGCGCAACCCUUAUCCUUGUUUGCCACCGAGUAAUGUCGGGAACUCCCGGGAAACUGCCGGUGAUAAA
rnacentral:rRNA from 1 species